rnacentral:sRNA from 1 species
CAAUAGCCCUGAUGGGAACGGCAUCCUUUUUUGUUUUUUUAUAACUAAAUGUCAAUCAGAAAUGCCAACGUUCUGAAAAAACAAAAAAGAUAUAGUGGACAGCAGGUUCCCGG